UACGUAGGGGGCAAGCGUUGUCCGGCUUUCUUUUUCUUCCCUCUCUUUUAUUCUUCUUUUCAAUUCCUUUGUGAAAACUCGAGGCUCAACCUCGAGACGUCGAUGGAAACUGCCUCGCUAGAGUCCGGAAGAGGAGAGUGGAAUUCCUGGUGUAGCGGUGAAAUGCGCAGAUAUCAGGAAGAACACCCGUGGCUAAGGCGGCUCUCUAGUACGGUACUGACGCUGAGACGCGAAAGCGUGGGGAGCGAACAGG
rnacentral:rRNA from 1 species